GACGAACGCUGGCGGCGUGCCUAAUACAUGCAAGUUGAGCGCUGAAGUGGGGUACUUUUACCAACUCUAUGGGCGACGGACGGGUGAGUAACUCGCGGGUAAUCUGCCUUUGAUCGGGGGACAACUUUUCGAGCCGAAUUCUCACACCUCAUGUAAGCUGUAAACACAAGUUUUCAGUUUGAAAGAUGCAAUUGCAUCACUCAAAGAUGAUCCCGCGUUGUAUUAGCUAGUUGGUGAGGUAAAGGCUCACCAAGGCGAUGAUACAUAGCCGACCUGAGAGGGUGAUCGACGACAUCGGGACUGGGACACGGCCCAAGCUCCUACGGGAGGGAGAAGUAGGGGAUCUUAGGAAAUGGAAGAAAGUCUGACCGAGCAACGGCGCGGGAGUGAAGAAGGUUACCGGAUCGUAAAACUCUGUUGGUAGAGAAGAACGUUGAUGAGAGUGGAAAGCUCAUCAUGUGACGGUAACUACCCAGAAAGGAACGGCUAACUCCGUG
rnacentral:rRNA from 1 species